ACAACCAAUACGCUCUCUCUUUAUCUAGGCAUCGCUCACAGUUGACACUCGUCAACUGCGGUGCUUCCCAAAUCUGUUUAAAUCCUUCUUUUGAAGGAUAAUCAGCACCUCAAACUUCCAGUACCUAUAAAAGAAGUUUUAAUACGUAUAAUUAGAGGAUGAGGGAUAAGUGGCGCAAGAAACGUAUGCGACGCCUGAAGCGUAAGAGGAGAAAGAUGCGUGCCAGGUCCAAGUAGACUGCCACCAGGAACGGCCACUCUUCCGGGCAUCGCACUCUUGCUGUUGAGUAGGGACUUCAAAUCAUUCUUCACAAUCUUCCUCACCAUCCCAGAGUCUAUACUUAUGUGCAUCAACACUCUUAUCACCGCGAGGUCUUGUCUCAUCCAUGUAGACGUCCUUGGCUGCAUCCUGUGUGAAAUCAAUUGGUUCUUCUGAAAGCUGUUGAUGACCAGGCCUUUGUUGCUAUGGAUGGAAACAUUGAUAGACUUCAUCAUGCUAUACAGACGCUCUCCCAUUAUUUUUGUUACAACAUUCCAUCUGAAAAUCAAGAUAAUAACUCAAUCUUCACCAAAUUCAUUCAUUGUGCUAGAUUGCUGUGCCCUUUGUGGUUGUUUUUAUUGCAUACUUUUACAUCUUUCACUCAAAAACUGUUGUGGUGUAUCAGCCUGUAAUAAAUCUUCUCCAUUAUGUUUCAAAAGGAAA